rnacentral:rRNA from 1 species
UUUGAAAUCUGACUUUCGGGUCCGACUUGUAAUCUGCAGAUGAGUCUUUUGGCGGAGCGCCGUCCAAGUUCCCUGGAACGGGACGCCGGAGAGGGUGAGAGCCCCGUACCGACGUGCGCCGAGUCUUUGCAAAGCUCAUUCGAAGAGUCGAGUAGUUUGGAAAUGCUGCUCUAAUUGUGGGGUAAAUCUCCCAUAAGGCUAAAUACUGGCCAGAGACCGAUAGCGCACAAGUAGCGUGAGCGAAAGAUGAAAAGAGCCUUGAACAAGGGCGUCAAAAAGCAUGUGAAAUUGUUAUGGGGGAAGCGCUCAAUGCCAGACGUGGCGACGGUUGGUUACCCGGCGUUCUCGCCGGCGCACUCUGCCGCCGCCAGGCCAGCAUCAGUUCGGUCCGGGGCUUACUUCCGCUCGGAACGUGGCUCUUCGGAGUGUUAUAGCCCUGCGGCGACGCCCUGGGCCGGACUGAGGAACGCGCAUCUGCCCGGAUGCUGGCGUAAUGGCUUUUAGCGACCCGUCUUGAAACACGGACCAAGGAGUUGACCUAGUAUGCGAGUGUUUGGGUGUCAAGCCCUCACGCGCAGUGAAAGCGAACGCAGGUGGGAGCCUCGGCGCACCAUCGACCGAUCCUGAAGUUUACGGAUGGAUUUGAGUAGGAGCAUACUGGGUCUGACCCGAAAGAAGGUGAACUAUGCAUGAAUAGGGUGAAGCCAGAGGAAACUCUGGUGGAGGCUCGCAGCGGUUCUGACGUGCAAAUCGAUCGUCAAA